rnacentral:rRNA from 1 species
UGGACUUGACAUAACGUUGUAACUCCUGGAAACAGGAGCCCUUCUUCGGAAGCAACGCUACAGGUGGUGCAUGGUUGUCGUCAGCUCGUGUCGUGAGAUGUUCGGUUAAGUCCGAUAACGAGCGCAACCCUUGUCCUUAAUUGCUAACAUUUAGUUGAGAACCUUAAGGAGACUGCCGGUGACAAAUCGGAGGAAGAUGAGGAUGACGUCAAAUCAUCAUGCCCCUUACGUCCAGGGCUACAGGCGUGCUACAAUGGCUGGUAUAAAGAGUCGCAAUACCGCGAGGUGGAGCUAAUCUCCAAAGCCAGUCUCAGUUCGGAUUGGAGUCUGCAACUCGACUCCAUGAAGUUGGAAUCACUAGUAAUCGUGAAUCAGAAUGUCACGGUGAAUACGUUCCCGGGUG